rnacentral:rRNA from 1 species
UGGUCCUACGGGGGGCAGCAGUGGGGAAUAUUGCACAAUGGGCGCAAGCCUGAUGCAGCCAUGCCGCGUGUAUGAAGAAGGCCUUCGGGUUGUAAAGUACUUUCAGCGGGGAGGAAGGGAGUAAGGUUAAUAACCUUAUUCAUUGACGUUACCCGCAGAAGAAGCACCGGCUAACUCCGUGCCAGCAGCCGCGGUAAUACGGAGGGUGCAAGCGUUAAUCGGAAUUACUGGGCGUAAAGCGCACGCAGGCGGUCUGUCAAGUCGGAUGUGAAAUCCCCGGGCUCAACCUGGGAAC